rnacentral:rRNA from 1 species
AGUGAACGCUGGCGGUAGGCCUAACACAUGCAAGUCGAACGGCAGCACAGUAAGAGCUUGCUCUUACGGGUGGCGAGUGGCGGACGGGUGAGGAAUACAUCGGAAUCUACUUUUUCGUGGGGGAUAACGUAGGGAACCUUACGCUAAUACCGCAUACGACCUACGGGUGAAAGCAGUGGAUCUUCGGACCUUGCGCGAUUGAAUGAGCCGAUGUCGGAUUAGCGAGUUGGCGGGGUAAAGGCCCACCAAGGCGACGAUCCGUAGCUGGUCUGAGAGGAUGAUCAGCCACACUGGAACUGAGACACGGUCCAGACUCCUACGGGAGGCAGCAGUGGGGAAUAUUGGUCAAUGGGCGCAAGCCUGAUCCAGCCAUACCGCGUGGGUGAAGAAGGCCUUCGGGUUGUAAAGCCCUUUUGUUGGGAAAGAAAAGCAGCAGGUUAAUACCCCGCUGUUCUGACGGUACCCAAAGAAUAAGCACCGGCUAACUUCGUG